UAUUUUUUACAUCAACUCAUAAGUUAUGUGAAACUUCCCCAGGAGCAUUGUUAAAAUACUUUGGAGGCACAGAAUCAGCCCAGAGCCAGUCCACAUCCUCAGGCUCAACUGUGAGUGAUGAAUCAGGUGAGGAAAAGACUGUCACCAUACAGUAUACAUUUCAUUUCUUAGUAUAAACAUUACACCUGAAGGGAAAUUAAUAUAGUCAAAGUAUCUCAUUAAUAUGUGUGCCUAUAUGUAUGUAUGCAGUGUUUCCCACACAUUCAUUUAUUUGUGGCGGCCCGCCACGAAAGAAUUACGUCCGCCACAAAUGGAUUUUUCAGCUUUUGACUCGCUCGACCGCUCAUAAAAGCAAUGGGACUGUCUGUGAAUGUUGCUUGUAGUUACAACUCCGGUGCAGUAGGUGGCGGUAGCAUUGUAACUCCGCCAAUAGCACUUAAUUCACCUGGUGGGCCAGAAGAAGAAGAAGAGGAAGAAGAAGAAGAAGAAGAAGAGGGACGGACGGGAUCAAAAUACGAGGGUAAUAUAGGUUAUAAAUAUAUAGGUUAUAGCUGCAUCGCUCGCGGCUCGUCAUAUAUUUAACGUUAAUCCGCGAUUUCACCGAGCGUUUUACUGACGGUGGCAGCAGGGGCGCCGAAAAGGGGGGGUAAAGGAGACGGAUUCUAGGGGCCCAUGAUGGAGGGGGGCCCUAAUGAUGAUGAAAUUAUAAUACAGAAAAAUAAUGAUACUAAGUUAUUAACUAACAUAUAAUCACAUAUGUUUUAUUUUCCAUGUCCUGGUAACAAUACCUUUAUUUGUUUUGGAAGCAUCAACCCCUGCAGGGCCCUCCCUCCCCCCCUCUAUUUACGUAAAAUGGUUCAGUCCGACUGGAUCAGCUGCAGGUAGCGCACCAGCGAUUUGUCACAGACAGCGGCAAAGCAGAGGAGACAGCAGUAUGCCUCAAAAAUCAGGCAGCCAAAAAAGAAAGGAAAAGAAAAUAAGAGAGGAGAAGGAGUUGAAGGGUCGACAAUAUGUCACCCGAUAUUUCCAAAAAAAAAAGAUGAGUAUAGAAAAAUAUUUUCAACGGCCGAAAAGGGCUCGACUUGGAGAGGAGGUAAGCCUACAGUCCGGACCACAGGUGCGACCUGUUCAGCAGGAGGAGGAGGAGGAGGUUGACUGACUGUGGCAGGACACCUCUGCCUCUGUUUCACUUCAUGUUGCUGGUAAAUAAUAUGGUUGUAGUAGUAGGCUAAAGUUAAAUUAUUUAGUAUUCACUAAUUAAAGGGGCAGAGCUUUAAGAGACAUUUGAGCUUUUAUAAGAUAUAUUUUUUGUAAGAACCACAAUUAAUAAAUACAUUUCAGUGAAUCACUAAUUGUUCAAAUCUGUAUAUAAAUAUGUACAUAAAAUGUUGUAAUUAUAUUCCAACUCCACGUUCUUCUUGGUCAUCGCCGCUGCCGCCGCCACCCCCCACCCCCCAACCACACCACCACAAAUAGAUGCCUGUCCUGUGGGAAACACUGCAACUUCCACCACGUCUCCUUCACACCAUGGACCAUCAUCAGCUCCGCCAGUUGACCCAGCUGAGUGGCCUUCUUUCCUCUCAGAUUCAGACAGGACUGAGCAGGUGAUCAGAGGACCACUGUCUAUUAAGGAGAACUUUUCAUUCC